AACGAACGCUGGCGGCAGGCUUAACACAUGCAAGUCGAACGCACCUUUCGGGGUGAGUGGCCGACGGGUGAGUAACGCGUGGGAAUCUACCCUUCUCUACGGGAUAGCUCCGGGAAACUGGAAUUAAUACCGUAUACGUCCUGAGGGAGAAAGAUUUAUCGGGGAAGGAUGAGCCCGCGUUGGAUUAGCUAGUUGGUGGGGUAAAGGCCUACCAAGGCGACGAUCCAUAGCUGGUCUAAGAGGAUGAUCAGCCACAUUGGGACUGAGACACGGCCCAAACUCCUACGGGAGGCAGCAGUGGGGAGUAUUGGACAAUGGGCGCAAGCCUGAUCCAGCCAUGCCGCGUGAGUGAUGAAGGCCCUAGGGUUGUAAAGCUCUUUCAGUGGGGACGAUAAUGACGGUACCCACAGAAGAAGCCCCGGCUAACUUCGUG
rnacentral:rRNA from 1 species